rnacentral:pre_miRNA from 1 species
UUAACUCUUCUAUUUGGUUCACUCUUCUGUUUGGUUCACUCUUCUAUUUGGUUCACUCUUCUAGAGAAGAGUGAACCAAUUAGAUGAAUGAACCAAAUAGAAGAGUGAACCAAAUAGAAGAGUGU